rnacentral:rRNA from 1 species
CCCUUAGAUGUUCUGGGCCGCACACGCGCUACACUGAAGGAGGCAGCGUGUACUCCUGGAUCGAAAGAUUUGGGUAACCCGCGAAUCUCCUUCGUGCUAGGGAUUGAGGUUUGCAAUUAUCCUUCAUGAACGAGGAAUUCCCAGUAAGUGCAAGUCAUAAGCUUGCGCUGACUACGUCCCUGCCCUUUGUACACACCGCCCGUCGCUACUACCGAUUGAAUGAAUUAGUGAGGACUUCGGACUGGGACCGAUGCGGCUUUCGGGCUGCGUCGGUAUUCUGGAAAGAUGUCCAAACUGUAUCAUUUAGAGGAAGUAAAAGUCGUAACA